rnacentral:rRNA from 1 species
UGGGGGAUAUUGCACAAUGGGCGAAAGCCUGAUGCAGCGACGCCGCGUGGGGGAUGAAGGCCUUCGGGUUGUAAACUUCUUUUGCUCUGAACAAGGCAUGCUAAUGGGUGUGUUGAGUGUAGGGGUUGAUUAGCGCCGGCUAACUACGUGCCAGCAGCCGCGGUAAUACGUAGGGCGCGAGCGUUGUCCGGAAUUAUUGGGCGUAAAGGGCUUGUAGGUGGCUGGUUGCGUCUGUCGUGAAAGCUGCUGGCUUAACUGUGGGUUUGCGGUGGGUACGGGCUGGCUUGAGUGCAGUAGGGGAGGCUGGAAUUCCUGGUGUAGCGGUGGAAUGCGCAGAUAUCAGGAGGAAUACCGGUGGCGAAGGCGGGUCUCUGGGCUGUUACUGACACUGAGGAGCGAAAGCAUGGGGAGCGAACAGG